rnacentral:rRNA from 1 species
UACGUAGGGUGCAAGCGUUGUCCGGAAUUAUUGGGCGUAAAGCGCUCGCAGGUGGUCCGAUACGUCGUGCGUGAAAGACCCCGGCUCAACUGGGGAGUGUCGUGCGAUACGGUCGGACUGGAGGCCAGUAGGGGGAUGCGGAAUUCCGGGUGUAGUGGUGGAAUGCGUAGAGAUCCGGAGGAACACCAGCGGCGAAGGCGGCAUCCUGGACUGGUCCUGACACUCAGGAGCGAAAGCGUGGGGAGCGAUCCGG